GAUGAAGAACGUAGCGAAAUGCGAUAAGUAAUGUGAAUUGCAGAUUUCAGUGAAUCAUCGAAUCUUUGAACGCACCUUGCGCCUUGUGGUAUUCCACAAGGCAUGCCCGUUUGAGUAUCAUUAAAUCAUCAACUCUAAAACCUUUGUGGUUUUUUUAGAGCUUGGUCUUGAGGGUUUUGCAGGCUUUUUUUUUUCGAGUCUGCUCCCUUUAAAUGCAUUAGCGAGACUUCCCUAUGCUGAACCGUCUCUUUGACGUGAUAAUUAUCUGCGUCGAAUUUUGGUUCUCGUUUGGCUUGCUUCUAAUCGUCUGUUAAAGACAAAACGGAUUUGGGUGCAUAUAUGCGCCUUUUUCCAAAACCUUUUUUGAUCUCAAAUCGGGUAGGACUACCCGCUGAACUUAAGCAUAUCAAUAAGCGGAGGA
rnacentral:misc_RNA from 1 species